UAUAGCCGCAGUAUUUUGACUGUGCUAAGGUAGCAUAAUAAUUUGUCUUUUAAUUGGAGGCUGGAAUGAAAGAGUUGACGAUGCUUUUGCUUUCUUAGCUUAGCGGUGGAAUUUGAUAUUUGCCUUAAAAAGUGCAACUUUCUGGGGGGACGAUAAGACCCUAUGAAACUUUAAUUUAUUUUAUUUAGGAGUAUUUGGAAGAUUUAAGAGUUUGUUAAAUUAAGCUGGGGCGGCAGCCAAGAUUCAUUUGCAGACAUAACAAAUCUAUUGAAUUUAGAGAUCUCACCGAGAAGUGGAACAAGUUACUUUAGGGAUAACAGCACAAUUUUUUUGUAUAGAUCGUAUAGAAUAAAAAGACUUGUGACCUCGAUGUUGAAUUGGGGGGCCCCAUUAAAGUAGAAAUUAGUGCGGGGGGUCUGUUCGACCUUUAUUUCCCCACGUG
rnacentral:rRNA from 1 species